GUGAGGGUGUGCUGUGCAGUCUCACAGUGGGCUGUUGCUCUGUAUCUCCAAGGGAGCCUUGGGUCCUGGAGCCCCAUGCAGUCUGAAGACCCCAGCUACCAUGUCCCUGGUCUCCAUGGGGUCCAGCACAGUGUCCAGCUUGCUUCGCCUUCUGCACGGGUCACAGCAAUGUGGAGCCCAUCCCAGAAUCACUGGAUGCCAAGCUGGGAGGGGUGCGCUCUGGAUGAGACACCAGUCCAUCUCAAGGUAGCCAUACAUACACCCACUGUUACACAGUUUGACAUUAUGGGCAAUUUAGAGUCACCGACUAACCUGUCUUUUUAGUCUGUGGGAGGAAACCAGAGCACUCAGAGGAAACCCAUACAAACAUUAACCACAAAACUUCGGGAGAACACGAAAAUUGAGCUGGAUUCCGACCUACGUCCAAACGCAGGUGCUGUGAGGCACCAGUGUUAGCUACUGCGGCACCAAAGUACAGGUUUGGACUUGAUUUAAUUGGUCUGAAGGUGGGUCAACCUACUAAAUUCUCCAUUUUUAUAUUUCUGUCUCUGCAUUCCCAAGGUAACUCAAAGAUUAAUUAAUGUCAACUUUGAGACUGACUUCAGUUUGCUGCAGUAUUUAUUAAUUGCACUUUUGCAGAAAUGUUUAUUGUGCCUUUUUUGUGCCAUGAGAAACAUACAGUACUGACUUUUUUCACUAAGGUAUGAAAUUCCAAGUUUAGUGGAAAUUCAUUACUCAUUUCAAUGGAAAGUGGUAAAUGAGAGAAACUAAGAAAUUCUUAUAUGUUUAUAUAUAUGUGUGUGUAUCAUCAUAAACAGUGUACACUAAUUACUUCACUGAACUGAAGAAAAAUGUAGACCAACGAAAGACUAAAGAGUAGUUUACAAGCGGACUUCUGUCAUACUUGAUGGAAUCUGUGCACCAUGGGGAUUUGCGGCUGUACACGCCCAUGGUGACACUGCUUCACUGAGCUCUGAAAUCAGAGGCAGGUGCGCUAGUAACGGAUUUCCCUUUUUCCACGCGAUGCUCAGGGAUGAUGGACUGUUGUUGGAGUCAAACGCCUUCAUGCUUGCUGAGACCGUGUGGGCGAAGUCACUUGGUGGAGCCCGGCUGUGUCCUUGUCCCAUUGGAGUCAGUCAACAUCGCUGCCUUUCACUGUGUGAAUGGCUUCAGUGUUACACUUUUGGCAUUAUUGCUAGAAGGCACCUGGAAGGAAAUUCUAAGACUUGCUUCCAGUAAAACAUUUGAAUUUUAGAUUAUUUCUGACAAGCAAUAAUUACCUGUUAUGGUUGUUAUUUAGUCUUUUAUGUAAAUGUAUAAUUUA
rnacentral:lncRNA from 1 species